CCACGAGAACGUGCCCGCGCCUUGGCCUCUCUCAGUUGCAUGUAUUGGGUUCGUGGAGCAGGGGAGAGAAAAACAUGGCCAUGGCAUUGAGGCCUUGAAGCGACAGGGGCUUUGUGAAGGACUACAUGGCGAUGGGGGGCGGUGCCGACGGGCCUCUCUGUGAUGAGAGUCUUUUCACAGACCUGUACUGAGCUCCGUGAGGAUAAGAAACUCUGAGGAGACAGGCCUUGCACGGCCGACGCAGUCUUAGCUCCGGAAAACAAAGCGUUUACGAGAUAGCCUAGUGCUGACCUGAUGUUCUCUUGUCUUCAGGGUUCGGGCGCGCGUCGAGCACUAAAGGAUAGCAAAGAGUUCUCGUUACAAUGUGGUUUAAAUCAAAAGACCUUAUGGGUGGGAGGAUGGGACAAGACCUGUCCCUGUGUGGAUCAAGCAUUAUGGCGAUGCUCCAGCAUCUCAUCGCCAAUCCUAAGGAAUUCAGCUGCCUCCCAGGAUGAAUGCAGCUUGUUCCUCUUGGAAUGAUUUUCCUGGGGAGGGAGAUGGCAGCCCAGCAAGCGGCACAGUUGGUUCUUGUGAUGGUGUGCUCUUCCCUCACCCCAUGUCACUGUCAGAUGAUUUGAGUGGUAAUGCUGAUUCUCCGUGAGGUUGUCCUCAUGGUGAUGUAUACAUCUGUCUUACAAUGCCUCUUGAUCUGCUCAGGGUCAAACUCCUGGAAAGAGUUGAGAAUCGAGCAGCUUGUUCCUUGUUCCUGUAUUACUCCUGGAAAGCCUCCCGCGUUGAAAGGUACCAUUGCCAGUUACCUGCUUGUUUGCUCAAAGGUGAGUGUUUUUCAUAUGCGUUGGUGGAUACAGUGUAUUGAGUAGGAAAGGCCUUUUUCGGCAUGUCUGUAUGAUGACUUACCUGGAAUCUCGUUCGGCUGACGAUUUGCUGUUGAGACUCGGAAAUCUGAUUUUCUAGGAACCAUAGCUUAGGUGGGAACAACUUUUAAUGCAGGAAUUAAGCUUACUGAUUCAGUCUUGUUUUUGUUUUAGGUCCAACUCCUUGUCUGGAGCCUGAGAAUGAAUUGAGGUAAAUCUGUCAUCUGUGGCUACUAUAUAGAAUUUGCCAGGGUUUUUUGUGGCACUUUGGAUAGCUGUGCAGACAUUACUUGUUUAAUCCAAAGUUUGUCUUUGGCCAUUUGUGAACCACCUGUGACAGAUUUCCACUCACCAGUGAUGAGUUCAGUACCGCCCCAGUCUGAUCACUAUGACUGAAAGGUAUUUUCUGAGCUGUGAGUUUGCCUUGGAGUGAAAGGUGACAAUAGUGGGAGGUUGGGUGGGCUUUAUAGCCAAUAGGAAGCUUUGUGGACUAGGUGGUGGUUUCUAUCAAAAUGUCUGUUGAGACCUACAUAGAUGUGCCUUUUGUCUCGGGGUGGUUUAGAGACUUAGUUCCCAAUCGUUCUUUCGCAGGGGAAAGGAGUAAGCCAUAUUUCUGUUCAACUCCAGUCUGAAGUUAAGAGGUGAGUAAAUGUAAACACAAGGUGGGUCAAGUUAAAAUUUCCCAGUGAAGAAAUAUUCACAUGUCUUACUUCCUGUCCUAGUCCCAGAGCCUGUAAAGGUGAACCCACUGGGGCUGGCUGGGGGAGAAGAGGAAAGCUUGUUCCAGAAGGAACUGUCUGAGGGAUCAUAAGAAUUUCUAAACAAGGCAAAGGAGGGAAUAAAUUACUGGUUGAAAAUCGGUUGUGUUUUUUUUUUCCUUCAGGUCUGAAGAAAGAACAAAGCACACAUAAUGGUAAGUAUCUAUUCAUGUACUUACAUUACAUAUUUAAUAGACUAACCAUGAUAAAUAGAAAAGUAUCUGGAAGCAGUCCUUUUAAUGUUAGCUGGUUUAAAGGAUAGCCCUUCUAAACCCAUGUGGUAUAUACUUUUCCAUAUGGUAAGAAAACUCAACUUUUUUUUUUUUCUCUACAGGAGUCCCAACUCUCUAAGGAUAUCAAAAAUGGAAUUUUCUUAUACAACCUACCUGUUCAAAUUAGCACACAAUCGUUUUAGCCUUUCUAAAUAAAACUUUGUUUUUUU